GGCCUCCACGCGCCUCUUUUGCGGCCCCGCGGGCGGGACGGAGGACGGAGCGGGGGGAGGGCCGCCUGGGCCCUGGGCCCACCGGGGCCCGGGGUCCGCGGCUCCUCCUCCCGGGACAAAGCCCGGCCCGCCCGCCGGGCCGUGCGUCGUUCAGGGUCCUCGACACCCCCCCCCCCCCCCCACCUGGCGUUGAAAGCCGCGCUCUGUUGCUUCCGAGUUUCCGGAUCCGCAUCCGGAUCUGCCGGGACCCCCUGGGCCCGGAGGCGGUCGCCGCCCCCGCCUUCCCCGCAGCCCCUUCGCCCGCAGCCCCGCCGCCCGCCCGCACGCAGAGGGCAGUUCCGGCGCGCGAGGCCUCCCCGCCUCCAGGCCUCGGCAGGCAGCGUUCUGAGUGGGGAACAGACGGCAGGAACCGCGCCCGGAGCUGCCGGCCCAGACGGAAGGUCCUCAGAACAAAUCCCAAUCCCAGGAGAGCCAAGGAGGGUGACAGGGACAGGAGAAGUGGUCGGUGGGAUUCUGGAAGUCUCUCGAAGGGCUUACGGCCGCGCCAGAUAGGAGGGCCCUUGCUCACGGCUCCUUCUGAAGGCUCUCUCUCCGCCUUCCGAUCUCCCGCGGCCCCCUCGGUGGCACCUGCUACGCGGGGCUCCUCACAGCAGGCACCGACGCGGGGAGAGCAGAGCGGCUCAGGACGGCUCCGCUGCUGUCGUCCUUCAGGGACCGCGGUCUCCUGGGUGCCGUGGUCCCUCCACCCCCUGGAGGGGUCGUAAGGGUUUGCCGGGGACAGCUGGUCUCUCCUCUGUGGCAUCGGCUUGGGCCUGGAUUCAAAGGCUGGGGGCGGAAUCACCGAGAGGACGGCUCGAUCACACGCUGCUUGUUGGCUGGGACCUCAGCUGCACCUGUGGCCACGCACCUGCACGUGAACCUGCCACGGGGCUGCUGGGAUUUCUCCCCGCCUGGGGCCUGGGCCCCGCGAGCAAGCGUCCUUCCCUGGAGAAUAAAAAUGCUCACGGAAACUUCUGGAAGUCCCCGAAGACCGGCGACGUAUGGUCAACCACGGUCAGGAUCAGAUGGUCCUUCUUCUGACUCAGCCUCAGAAGGUCAACGGUAGCCCAGCGCUCCGUCAGGUACGCACGUCACCUCCCCACGGGGGCAUCUCAUUGUCUCACAUCGUCACAAGAUGGGGGAGGAACACAGGACAAUAAGAUAUUCUGAAAGCGAGAGAGAGAAAGAGAAACCGUUUGCACAUACCUGUUAUUACAAUACAUUGUAAUAAUCGUUCUGUUUGAUCAUUGGUUACUGUUGUUCACCCCUCGCUGUGCUUAGUUUAGAAAUUAAACCUCCUCGGAGGUGUGUGUGUACCAGUCUGGGUGGGGCUCAGAGCCAGCUGCGGUCUCAGGCGUCCCCCGGGGGUGUUGGCAGGCGUGCCCCAAGGAUAAGGGGCCGGGGACGGCUGUCUGCAAAUUCAAAAACCGAAAUGCAAUUGUGCUUUCCAACAAGUGAUGCCAGAACAGCUGGACAUCCGCAUGCAAAAAAGGGGACGCGAGACACAGACCUUCCAGCCUUCACCAAAGCGAACUCUCACGGGAUCCCAGGCCGAAAUGUACAAUAUGGGACUAAAAUUCCCAGAAGUUACCCUUAGGAGCAUGUCUAGCUGACCUUGGGUCUGGGGACGACUUUUUAUUUUAUUUUUUAGUAUUUUUAAAUGUUUUUAAUGUUUGUUUAUUUAUUUAUUUUUGAGAGUGAGAGACAGAGUGUGAGCGGGGGAGGGGCCGAGAGAGAGGGGGACACAGAAUCCGA